UACGGAGGGGCUAGCGUUGUUCGGAAUUACUGGGCGUAAAGCGCGCGUAGGCGGACCUGCAAGUCGGGGGUGAAAGCCCGAGGCUCAACCUCGGAACUGCCUUCGAUACUGCGGGUCUCGAGUCCGGGAGAGGUGAGUGGAAUUCCUAGUGUAGCGGUGAAAUGCGCAGAUAUCGGGAGGAACACCUAUGGCGAAGGCAGCUCGCUGGGACGUUACUGACGCUGAGACGCGAAAGCGUGGGGAGCAAACAGG
rnacentral:rRNA from 1 species